GCCAUUUUGCAUGCCGGACGACUUUCUCUGGGUGAAAAUUUCCUCAAAUUUCUCCGCGUUUCUCCGCCGAAUUUCUCUAACGACCGAGGUUCUUCAGUCCUUUGAUUCUGUAGAACUCUCCCGUGUAUAAUUGAGCGGUAUUUUACCGCGCGGUUGUCUGUUUUUUACCGAGUUUUUGUCCGGUUAGUGCGCGUCGGUGGAAGUCGCCAUGCCGCAGAGCAACGUGCUCCCUUUGUGGGGGAACGAUAAGACGAUGAACCUGAACUCGCUCAUCCUCACCAACAUCCAGUCUUCUCCCUACUUCAAGAACGACUUGUUCCAGCUCAAGACGUACCACGAGGUCAUAGACGAGAUCUACUACAAGGUGCAGCACCUUGAACCAUGGGAGAAGGGCAGCAGGAACACAGGCGGCCAGACCGGGAUGUGCGGGGGGGUCCGUGGUGUAGGGGCGGGUGGUAUCGUGUCCACAGCGUACUGUCUGCUGUACAAACUCUUCACCCUGAAGCUGACACGGAAACAGGUGAACGGCCUCCUCCAGCAUGGCGACUCCCCGUACAUCCGCGGGCUGGGCUUCAUGUACAUCAGAUACACCCAGCCCCCCGCCGACCUGUGGGAAUGGUACGAGCCGUACAUCGAUGAUGACGAGGAGCUGGACGUGAAGGCGGGUACCGGCUGCAUGAUGACAGUAGGAGAGAUGCUGCGCAGCUUCCUCGGUAAGAUCGAGUGGUUCUCCACCCUGUUCCCCCGCAUCCCCGUCCCCAUACAGAAGGACCUGGAGGGCAAGCUGGCCUCCCGACCGUUGCUACGGAAACGCCCCGCCCCUGAUGCAGAGGAGGAGGUGGAGGAGGAGGCUGCGGAGCACAUCCCGGACGAGGAGGUGUCGUGGGGCGAGGCGGAGCGCCGAUCGCGGGCACGCCGGAGCAGGUCCUCUAGCAGGGAGGCCACAAAGCCCACCUCCCGCACUUCCAGCCCAGCGCAGAAGAAACGGACGGACUUCGAGCGAGACCUGGAGCGCGAGAGAGACCGCCAGCGCCGGGAGAAGGAGCGCCCUCGUAGCCGGAGCUCGGACAGGCCCCGGGAGCGCCGACGCAGCCGAAGUCGCGAGAAGAAACGCAGCAAGAGCCAAGACAAGCAGUCUCCGAGCAAGUCUCGCGACCGGAGGGACCGGCGGCGAUCACGUAGCCGAGAACGGAAGCGGUCACGCAGCAGGGACCGUAGACAGCGGUCACGAAGCCGCGACAAGAAGCGUUCCCGUAGCCAGGACCAGGACGGCAGACGGGAGUCCGACAAACGCGAGAGGAAACAACACCGUUCGCGCAGCCGCGAGCGCAAAGAACGGUCCGGCUCGAAGGAUCAUCACAAGGAGCGCUCGGGCUCCAAACACAAGGACGGACGCUCGUCGGAACACAGAGACGUUUCUCGCAAGGAGAAGAAACAAAGGAAAGACAGGGAGUCCAGAGACAGGGACAGACACAAGGAGAGGAGGCGUAGUCGUUCACGGAGCAGAGAUCGUUCGCACAAGCACAGCAGAGGGGACGACAGGCGAAACGCACACCAGGGCUCCGACAAUGAUGUAGAGGAGGGACAGAUAGACGAUGUACAAAAUUCCAGCUAGGUCCUUUAAGUCAUCCUGUUUAUAAUAUACACACUAGAGGUGAGGAAUCAUAGUCCAAGAAAAUUUGUACAGGAAGAUCCUUUCAUUGCUCCAAGAUUUUGUUGGAAUUCGUUAGAUUUUAUACAGCCUCCCAACUAGGGUAGCACAGACUAAAUUCCAUGGACGUCAUUUAGGCCUGCUUUGAUUCUUUCCUGUGUCCUGAAAAACAAAAUGUUUGCAGUGAAAUCAACUCAUCAAAGUUGUAUCGAAAAGAAUGUCCCUUUAUUCAGAUAAUUUCGUUCCUUCAAAAGAUACCCCUCAUAGAAUCAAGCCUAUGUAACCCAAGUGAUGACAAACCACAACACAGAAUGUUUUCAUCGUUAUUUUUUCUCUUGUUAAGCUAGACAUCAAACUAACGCACCCUUCUCAUGUGUAGUUUGAGUUCCACAGACGACCAAAGCGAUGUUAUUCCAUGUAACCAGCUUCUAAGGACCAAGUGCAAAAGGAGCAAUUUUGUAUUGUUUUCUGUUGAAGUUAAGCCAGAACAUGUUACCAUACCUCAGUGUUCGUAAGCUUCAGGCAUCUGUCUGGAUUCUUGAUAAAUGUGUAACCGUUAAUGUUAGUCUUUUGAUGCGUUAUUCAGGCCAUUCCGUUGUGUUUUUUUUAUAUAGAGAGGGUGUGGUAAAUGUGUAUGUAAAUAGAUGGUGUGAAGAAAUUGAACUGAAGAUAUGAAAAGCACGAAAAUACAGAUUCACAAUUUUUUCUUUACAUAUCUUGCCAUUUGCCCCCAAACAACUGGGUUUAAUGUAUUUUGAUGCAGCUGGAUGGAAGCACAAAUGUACAAACACUUUUUACCCACAGUCUCUUUCACCACAUGAAGUAUGGUACAACAAAAAGAACCAGUUGAACAACAGUUGAGCAAGGCUCUGUCUUCCGGUUGCCCCCCUCCCCAGUCUGUUGUACAGAUGUGUGUUUUGUACUCCCAGCUGGAAGUGUAAAGCGAGGGAGAGAGAGAAUCUGAUAUGUAAAUGUCUGACCACGAACACUGUGCCUGAGGAUGAUAGGAAGCCUACGGCACCUGAUGUAACAUUUCCGAACUGAAAAAGAAGGAAUAGAAUAGGAUAGAUUCUGUCAGGAUAAGGAUUGAAGAGAAAAGUAGUAGUAUCAGUUAUUUGAUUAUACUGCUACUGGGAUCCCUGACAUGGGUAGGCAACAGUUGGAUAGCUGAAAAAGAAUCAGUGCUGAUAACUUUAAAUUUGAAAUGUUGGUUUCCAUGGUUUCUGGAUUUCACCGGCAAAAUCUUGUAAUCCUGCGGUUUCAAAAUGUCAGUGGAUGGACAGUUAAUUUUAUGUCUCAUUAUUAAGACAUGGCUGUCUUAACUUGCAUACAUGACAGAGACGGUCCGUUUGCCUACCAACACUUAAAAAGUUUGUGAUGGAUUCCAAAUCAACCAGCAUGUAAUGAAGCCCUGGUGGCUCAUUUGUAAAAAAAAAAACAGCAUUUGUGCACAGGAACCACUGUAAUGGAACCACUCGCUACUAGCUUUCAUGUGAAAGAGGCACCGAAAUGAAAGUGUCCAAUGAGAUGAAAAAUCUUAACGAAAACUCUGAGCAGACUUUGAUACACACUUGUAUGUAUGUAUGUAUGCUCCUACAAUCCCCCAGAUGUAUAUAUUUCAUAGAGUAGUUUUGGAGCUAUUGUAUGUAAGGGAAAACUGACCAAAGGAGGGGGGUGGUGAAAAAAAAUAUUGAUAACUUUUCUGUCUUUCUAGCUGUAGUCAAGAGAAUCGUUGUGUUAUCUUUAAAAUCACAAUGUGCAACAGUUUACUGUAGUCUUCAGUGCCGAGGUGUAAUAAUGUCUCAGACCAGAUUUCCUUGAUUUUUCAGACUUUUGUUGAGAAUUAUGUGUAAGUAACAACCAAGAUUGGAGGUAUUUGAUGAUUUUGUACUUUAGUGAUGAUGAUAUGAUGAUUGUGUAGUUUGUACUUUGAUUAUGUUGUUGAAGCCAUUGAGUUUGGAUGCAAACUUUACAGAGGAGAAUAAAUACCAGAUGUACGUACUGUU